UCCUUUCUCCAUCCACUGCGCUGCUGUAUGUUGUUGCUAAUCUGGGCUGCUACCAUCCAAACCCGUCCUCGCCGCAGGUUGCCUUAGCUCCACUGCCAUCGGCCCCUCACUCGCCGGGCUGCCUCAUGAGGCUGCAGGAUGUUGAGCGCGUCCCGGAGAUGCCCGCCCUAUGGGCCUGUGGAGGCUCAAGUACGGAAGGCCACGUCGGCCGCGUGCGCCGUGAGAGCGACCGGAGCCCGCGACGGCCGCGCCCUUCUCCCGCCUCGGCCUGCGCAUCCCUGAGCUCCGCCGUGACGGCUGUGCCACACGAAGGUCUCAGGGUGACUGAAGUUGAGCUUUCUUUUGAGUGAAGAUUCUGGGGUCAUGACGCUAAUGGAGCACAACUACGUGAGGACCUGGUCGCCUCAUGUCUCCCGGCAGUGUCUAAUACUGAAGAGACCACCUUGUUGCUGGAGCUGUUUUAGAAUAAGGUCUCUUACCAGUGAAGCUGCUUUUGCCUGUGAUUGUGUAUCUAAGGAGUUGGGAGAGAAGUGCUAUGGGAAGAAGGCAAGCUAACACAACAGGCUAUUCUAAGUGGAAACAGUGACCUCAAUUUUUGCUAAAGCUGCUGCCUGGCAUGUUAAAGUGACCAAUAAAAGACUCAAAGGAUCUCCGAAGACACUGUGUCCAGAGGCUGCCAGUGACAGUCCAUCAAUGCAUCGUACAGCUCCUCACUCUGCUCCAUGAACUCCUUGUUGGCCUCAGUCACGUCCAGCUGUGGCAUGGGGUCUGGAAAAGAAGCAAGGACAGGUUCAGGGAGCAUCAAGAGGAGAAGCUCUCAGUUGCCACAAGAGACUGGAUUCAGUUCUUCUACAUCCAGGACUUCCUGUUUCCUAGGGCAAGCUCCCUGUCCUGGUGUCAAGUUCCCUCAUUUCUCAUGGCAGCUGAUCACACUGCCUUGCAGGGUUCUGUGAGGACGACAAUAAUGUACUUAGAGAAUGUAACAUGUAGUCACUAUUCAAAUGGUGGCUCUUACUCCAGAUUCAUUAAAAGCUACACCUCUACCUCUA